rnacentral:tRNA from 1 species
GAGGGUAUAGCUCAGUGGUAGAGUGCAUGCUUAACGUGCUGGAGGUCCUGGGUUCAAUCCUCAGUACCUCCA